rnacentral:rRNA from 1 species
AUUGAACGCUGGCGGCAGGCCUAACACAUGCAAGUCGAACGAGUGGCGGACGGGUGAGUAAUGUUUGGGAAAUUGCCUGAUGGAGGGGGAUACCUACUGGAAACGGUAGCUAAUCCCGGUUACCAUCAGAUGGGCCCAGAUGGGAUUAGUUAGUUGGUGGGGUAACGGCGCACCAAGGCGACGAUCCCUAGCUGGUCUGAGAGGAUGACCAGCCACACUGGCGAUGAGACACGGUCCAGAAUCCUACGGGGGGCAGGAGUGGGGAAUAUUUGACAAUGGGCGCAAGCCUGAUGCAGGCCUGCCGCGGGUAUGAAAAAGGCCUUCGGGGUGUAAAGUUCUUUCAGCGGGGAGGCGUUACCCUAAGAAGAAGGACCGGCUUACUCCGUGCCAGCAGCCGCGGUAAUAC